rnacentral:misc_RNA from 1 species
AAGACUAUAGACCUGCGGAGUACCUGCGGAAGGAUCAUUACUGUGAUUUACUACUACACAGCGUGAGCGGAACGAAAUCAACAACACCUAAAAUGUGGAAUAUAGCAUACAGUCGACAAGAGAAAUCUACGAAAAAACAAACAAAACUUUUAACAACGGAUCUCU